rnacentral:tRNA from 1 species
UUUGAAGGGAUGGCUCAGCUAGUAGAGCAUCAGACUAUUGAUCUCAGGGUUGUGGGUUUGAGCCUCACAUUGGGCAAAA